GGCGGCCGGAGGAGGAGUAGGUGCGGGUGAAGAUGGCGGCAGCCGAGGCCGCGAACUGCAUCAUGGAGGUGUCCUGUGGCCAGGCGGAAAGCAGCGAGAAGCCCAACGCUGAGGACAUGACAUCCAAAGAUUACUACUUUGAUUCCUACGCCCACUUUGGCAUCCACGAGGAGAUGCUGAAGGACGAGGUGCGCACCCUCACAUACCGCAACUCCAUGUUUCAUAACCGGCACCUCUUUAAGGACAAGGUGGUGCUGGACGUCGGCUCGGGCACCGGCAUCCUCUGCAUGUUUGCUGCCAAGGCCGGGGCCCGCAAGGUCAUCGGGAUCGAGUGUUCCAGUAUCUCUGAUUAUGCGGUGAAGAUCGUCAAAGCCAACAAGUUAGACCAUGUGGUGACCAUCAUCAAGGGGAAGGUGGAGGAGGUGGAGCUCCCGGUGGAGAAGGUGGACAUCAUCAUCAGCGAGUGGAUGGGCUACUGCCUCUUCUACGAGUCGAUGCUCAACACCGUGCUCUAUGCCCGGGACAAGUGGCUGGCGCCCGAUGGCCUCAUCUUCCCAGACCGGGCCACACUGUAUGUGACAGCCAUCGAGGACCGGCAGUACAAAGACUACAAGAUCCACUGUGAGCGCGGCCCGGGAGCUGGCGGGCGGGUCCCCGGGUGGGCUGCUGCGGGCUCACCCCCUCCCUGCCUGCCUCCCCAGGGUGGGAGAACGUAUAUGGCUUUGACAUGUCUUGCAUCAAAGAUGUGGCCAUUAAGGAGCCCCUAGUGGAUGUCGUGGACCCCAAACAGCUGGUCACCAACGCCUGCCUCAUAAAGGUGAGGGGAUGGGCAUGGCCAGGUGCCCCCUGGGUUGAAACCAAAGACAGGUCAUCACCUGGCCCUGCCGUGGGACUUUGGGGCCCAGAAUGUUGGCCUGAGGUCUCAGAGCCUGAUCUGCCAGCCAGAGGUGGUGCUAGAGGCCCAGGAAAGACACUUCGUCCUUUAAAUAUCUUUG
rnacentral:sRNA from 1 species